CUGGUAAAAAAUUAGUCAAACUCGGUGAAACCGGUGACCCGAUUCAAUAUUAAAACCCAGUUUUCUCAAAUUCAAAUUAAAAAAAUAUAUUUAAAAUUUUAAAAUUUAAGAAUCAUAUUUUCAAAAAUAUGUUUCUAAAUUAAAUUAGUUUUCAUUAUUUUAUAUUAUUUUUAAAGUUUUUAUUUUAUUGAUGUAUCAAUUUUAGUUAGAUUCUUGUAAUGAUAUAAAAUUUUAUAAAAAGAAUUAUAUAUAUAUAUAUAUUUAAUUAAUUAAUUUAAAAUCAGAUUGAAAUUUAAAAUACGGUUGAAUCUAACCUGAUCCAAUAAUUAAUCCAGUUACAAUGUUGAAUUGAUAUCCGGUCCGAUUUUCAAAACCUUGUCUUUCAGGUUUUAUUUGUAAGAAGAUUGCAGGCGUCUUGUAAAAUUGGGAAUAAAAAUGGUUUUAUGUACAACUGGAAAUGUUCAAUUCAUAUGUAAAACACAAAGACACCGGAGAUGACAAAUGACAACACAUUAGCUCAAGACAAGCCCAUCUUCCAACCAAUCUUGUCACACCAACAUCGAUAUAUUACUACUUUUUAGCGAAUCCAAUUAAUACACUUGUCAUCACUAAUUAGUAUUGUGUACAAAUAUGCUGUAGCCGUAACAUGGUCAGUUUUGUGAUUAAUAAUGAUAAUCGAAAUCGACCGUUAUUUUGUGCGUAGAAAAUGUGAUCAACAAUAGUGAAUUAAUAUAUUAAUUUUAUUUUAAAAAUUAAUAUUUCAACUCUAAUACAAUUCGAUCUGAAAACAUGCAUGUAUAUCUUAGGCAGAAAAACAUGCAUGUAUAUCUCUAUAAUCUAAAUGAAAAUGAUUGCCCGCUAACUAUAGUUUUUUUUUUUACAUCGAACUAACUAUAUAGUUUAUUAUGUUAGAGAAAACUAUAGUUUGUUACUCAAAAUGGCCACUACGAUAUCGAUAUAUCAUUUUGAUUAUCGCUAGAACUAUUUUUUUUCGUUAAAGUCGCUAGAACUAUUAUAACUUUUUAGCCUUAGAACAAUUAGAACUUGCGUGUUAAUUCUAUUUUUGAAUAUUGAAAUAUAGUGCUUAAAUAUGAGUUUUAGUGCGACGAAUAUAAGUUUUCACCUAGUAAUUUAUAAAUAUAUAUAGGAUGUAAGUUGUUUAUAUAUGUGUGAAACAUGUUGGAUGGAUGGUGAGGGUCCUAGGCGAGGGCUAAGGACAAAGAAAGAGGAGAUGCAAUAAGACAGAAGACGCAUGCAACGGAGAUUUCGGAUUCGGUCGUAUCCUUUUCAUUUGUCUCAGCCAUUAAUUCCCAAACCCCAUCUUCUCUUCCUCAUCCAUCCUUAUGUUUUGUUUCUUCUAAAUAUUAUUAUAUAUUACACACAAUUUAAUGAUUUCAAUGUAUACUUCAUAUAUGAUACAUUGUUCAAUUAACAUUUUCGAUAUCUAAAUGAUUCUUUGACGAUCGAAAUCCAAAAUUCUUUUUGACAAACAGUGAUUUUGAGCAUAAGAUUUGAUUAGGUAUACUAUUAAUUUCAUUUUGAAUGAGUUCUUUCCUUUUAAAAUGUUGAUGAAUUAGAUUGGAAAUACUGCAACUAUUACAAAUCUAGUCAUAUUUUACAAUGUUACUACAAAUCUAGUUAUAGAUUGAAAUUAAGUUUUGACAUUUAAUUAUUGUAAAUAGCCAACUCAUGUAGACAUAUUUUACAAUGUUAAGGUGUUAAAGGUUUCAUCAUUUAAGCCACUUGUCCACAUGGUAGUUAAUAAAGAAUAACCAUAUAACAAAUUUAAUACACAUUUGUGGUCCAUUUCUUUUGUUGGUAAUAAUCAUCUGUGGUCCAUUUAUCCAAAACAAGCAUCUGUCUAACGUGUAUUACUAUUUAAAUAAUAUAUAUGUGUAUAUAAAUGUGUGUGUGGGUGUGAAGAUGCUCGAUUACGAUUACAAGUUGAGACACUUGUCGUCUCUUUUCUUUCCUUUUAAUGUUUUGCUCUCUCCUCCCCCUCAAAACCCAACUUCUGAUAACUAAAAUUAUCAUUGGAUAGCAAUUCAUAUUCUCUGUAUCUUCCGUAAUUAAUUAAUAAGUUUCGAGUAUAUAGCUAGGGUUGAUGUGAGAUUUGUAUAUCUAGAUGGAUCUAUUUCUAUGUUGGUUUUGGGAGGCUGAAGCUGCCAGCAUGAUCUGGUAAUCGCUACAUACGACAUAUAUACAUACACAUGAUAAUUUAAUUUACUUCCACAUAUAUCAAUGUAUCUCUCAAAUAAUAUAUAAUCUUUUUUUUUUUUUUGCUAACAUUUGGAUCAUAUAUAAUCUUAGUGUUAAAAAUGUGUUUUCUCCUCUUUUUCAUGGAUGCAUGCAUGUAUGUGUGUGUAUAAGUGUAUAGAUAGUGGUACCAGAUCAUCCUGCGGCUUCAUUCACUCAAAUCACCAACAAUGAACUUAAGCUUCUUAAGAAAAACGAUUCCAGUCGACUUUUACGACUUCCCUGGGUUAUCAUUAGAGGUAACAAUACAUUUGCUUAUAUCCUUCUACUUCCUUAUAAAUCGGGAUCCCCUUAUAAAUCGAAUCAUUCAUUCUUUUCUUUUAUUUUAUUUUUGGACGAGCGUCUUCAAUCAUUCAUGCUUGGUGUAUUACAUCUUAGUUCUGGAAACUAUACGCAUAUAUGUAUCUAAUUUUAUAUGAUAUAUAUAAUUACAUAUAUACAAUGACGCAACAGUGAUAUAUGAUUUAGUUACUGUUUAUAUAUAUGACCAUGUCCACAAGCUCAUGUUUGUUGGUAGGAACGCGUUUACAUGUGACUGUGUUUGCCAAGACCUAUGCCAAGCUUUAUAAUUAUAUAUUCAUAUAAUAUAUCAAGUGAUAAUAAAGAAGAAGGUGUAUUAUUUUGGUGACAAGACGCAUUAGUAUCCAUCUUAUUAGUAAUUUUUAAGAUUCCAGAAUCAGAAAAAUAUGAUUGUCAAACUUUCAAUUUUUAAGAAGUAAAAAACAAAAUAUUGUUUUGAUUCUAACUUAACAAUGUUUAAAACAUUGGCAGUUAAGUGUUUAUUGUUUAUCCAAUACAUCAGGUCUUAUUAUUCAACACGUUACUACUUACUACAAACAGCUCAAAUAAUAGAAAAGUUUGCUACAAUAUUUUGAUUUAAGCGUUGUGUUUGCUAUGCAAUGAGAACUAAUAGAGAAAACUUGCUUGGACGUAUUAAGCUGGAGCUUAUUUUGAAAUAGAAGUUUGGGUCUUAUAGUCCCCCAUCUAAUAAGAUAGAAACGAUCAUUAUACUUGGUUUCAGAAACACCUAAGAACAAUCUUCCACACUAUUACUGUUUUCUUUUUUUCUUGUUUGGCAUUUGGAAGAUCUUUAUUAUAUAUUGGACCAACGGAAAUAAACGUCUACAAUAUCAUGCAUGUACCAUUGACUAAGGAUCAAGCCUUCUAUAAUAUAGGUUGUGACACAAGUAACCAGUGGUUGGUAUAGAUUAUCUGCGUUAAUCAGCACAAGAACAACUCGCCAACUCCAGCCUUUGUUUCCAAGAUCUUUCAUUUGGAGCUGGAGAACACAUGAUCGAUAUAUGGAUUGUAUUAAGAUCAUGCAUAUUAAUUUCCUUACUUAUACUUGCAUCCAUUAUGUCUUUUGUUCAUUCGUAAGGAUUUAGUGGUUUGUCGAAACAAUAAGUACAACGCCCUUUUAUAGUAUGUUUUAGAACUUUUUACAAAAUUAUCUAUGCAAACUGUAUACUCCUUAAUUUUUUUUAUGAAUGUUUGUAAUAUGCAGCAGUCUUUUCUAUUGCUUGAAUUU